AUACGGAGGGUGCAAGCGUUGUUCGGAAUCACUGGGCGUAAAGGGCGCGCAGGCGGUUUGGUAAGUCAGAUGUGAAAGCCCACUGCUCAACCGUGGAAGUGCAUUUGAAACUGCCAGACUUGAGUACCAGAGGGGAAAGUGGAAUUCCCGGUGUAGAGGUGAAAUUCGUAGAUAUCGGGAGGAAUACCGGUGGCGAAGGCGACUUUCUGGCUGGAUACUGACGCUGAGGCGCGAAAGCGUGGGGAGCAAACAGGAUUAGAAACCCUAGUAGUCC
rnacentral:rRNA from 1 species